rnacentral:rRNA from 1 species
UACAGAGGUCUCAAGCGUUGUUCGGAUUCAUUGGGCGUAAAGGGCGCGUAGGCGGCGGGGUAAGUCGGGUGUGAAAUCUCAGAGCUCAACUCUGAAACUGCACUCGAUACUGCUCUGCUUGAGGACUGGAGAGGAGACUGGAAUUCACGGUGUAGCAGUGAAAUGCGUAGAUAUCGUGAGGAAGACCAGUGGCGAAGGCGGGUCUCUGGACAGUUCCCGACGCUGAGGCGCGAAGGCGUGGGGAGCGAACGGG